rnacentral:rRNA from 1 species
GACAGAGGGUGCAAACGUUGCUCGGAAUCACUGGGCGUAAAGGGCGUGUAGGCGGGAAUGUAAGUCGGGCGUGAAAUCCCUAGGCUCAACCUAGGAACUGCACUCGAAACUGCGUUUCUUGAGUAUCGGAGAGGAAAGCGGAAUACCUGGUGUAGAGGUGAAAUUCGUAGAUAUUAGGAAGAACACCGGUGGCGAAGGCGGCCCACUGGUCCGGUACUGACGCUGAGGUGCGAAAGCGUGGGGAGCAAACAGG